rnacentral:rRNA from 1 species
GACGAACGCUGGCGGCGUGCCUAACACAUGCAAGUCGAACGGAAAGGCUCGGUUUUUGUGGGGUUCUCAAGUGGCGCACAGGUGAGUAUCACGUGAGUGACCUGCCCUUUACUUUGGGGGAACUUAUGGAGACUGGGGUUAUUAUCGGGCAUGAGAUCCUGCUACAUGAUGGGUGUGGGUAAAAUGCGGUGGUUGAGGAUGGACAGGCGGGCUAGCGGCUUGUUGGUGGGGUAGUGGCUUACCAACGCUUUGACGGGUAGCCGGACUGAGAGGGUGACCGGCCACAUUGGGACUGAGGUACGGCCAAGAGUCCUACUGGAGGCAGCGGUGGGAAACUUUGCACAAUGGGCGGAAGCCUGAUGCAGCGACUCCGGGUGCGAGAUGACGGCCUGUGGGUUAUAAACCGCGUGCGACUGUGACGAACCGCGAGUGACGGUAAUGGGUAAAGAAGCAACGGCUAACUACGUG